ACAGACGAGUCCCAAAUAGGACGAAACAGCUGUCC
rnacentral:hammerhead_ribozyme from 1 species